AUACGUAGGGGGCGAGCGUUGUCCGGAAUGAUUGGGCGUAAAGGGCGCGUAGGCGGCCCGGUAAGUCUGGAGUGAAAGUCCUGUUUUUAAGAUGGGAAUUGCUUUGGAUACUGUCGGGCUUGAGUGCAGGAGAGGUAAGUGGAAUUCCCAGUGUAGCGGUGAAAUGCGUAGAGAUUGGGAGGAACACCAGUGGCGAAGGCGACUUACUGGACUGUAACUGACGCUGAGGCGCGAAAGUGUGGGGAGCAAACAGGAUUAGAUACCCUGGUAGUCCACACUGUAAACGAUGAAUGCUAGGUGUGGGGGGUAUCGACCCCUUCUGUGCCGCAGUCAACACAAUAAGCAUUCCGCCUGGGGAGUACGGCCGCAAGGUUGAAACUCAAAGGAAUUGACGGGG
rnacentral:rRNA from 1 species